rfam:Triticum aestivum genome assembly, contig: Triticum_aestivum_CS42_TGACv1_scaffold_408772_5BL
AUAUUACUCCCUCCGUCCGAAAAUACUUGUCGAAGAAAUGCAUAAAAAUAAAUGUAUCUAGAACUAAAAUACAUCUAGAUACAUUCAUUCCUUUGACUAAUAUUUCCGGAUGGAGGGAGUACUUU